GCCUUCAUUGCUCAGUGGUUGAGCAUUGACCUGUGAACCAGGAGGUCCCAGGUUCGAUUCCUGGUCAGGGCA
rfam:Myotis lucifugus cont2.44541, whole genome shotgun sequence.